rnacentral:rRNA from 1 species
GACGAACCGUGCGAACGUUGUUCGGAAUCACUGGGCUUAAAGGGCGCGUAGGCGGGCAUUCAAGUCAGGGGUGAAAUCCCUCAGCUUAACUGGGGAACUGCGUCCGAUACUGGAUGGCUUGGAUUUGGGAGAGGGAUGCGGAAUUCCAGGUGUAGCGGUGAAAUGCGUAGAUAUCUGGAGGAACACCGGUGGCGAAGGCGGCAUCCUGGACCAAUAUUGACGCUGAGGAGCGAAAGCUAGGGGAGCAAACGGGG